UACAGAGGGUGCGAGCGUUAAUCGGAAUUACUGGGCGUAAAGGGCGAGUAGGCGGCCUUCUAAGUCAGACGUGAAAUCCCCCGGCUUAACCUGGGAACUGCGUCUGAUACUGGCACGCUCGAGUUCGGGAGAGGAUGGUGGAAUUCCCAGUGUAGAGGUGAAAUUCGUAGAUAUUGGGAAGAACACCGAUGGCGAAGGCAGCCAUCUGGACCGACACUGACGCUGAGGCGCGAAAGCGUGGGGAGCAAACAGG
rnacentral:rRNA from 1 species